GACGAACGCUGGCGGCGUGCUUAACACAUGCAAUUCGAACGGUAAGGCCCUUCGGCGUACACGAGUGGCGAACGGGUGAGUAGCACGUGGGCGAGCUGCCCUGCACGUCGGGAUAAGCCUGGGAAACUGGGUCUAAUACAGGAUAGGUCCACUGCGUGCAUAGGUGGUGGUGGCAAGCUUUUGCGUUGUGGGAUGGGUCCGGGGCCUAUCAGCUUGUUGGUGGUGAGAUGGCCUAGCCAGGCGACGACGUGUAGCCGGCCUGAGAGGGUGACCGGCCACGCUGGGACUGAGAUACUGCCCAGACUCCUACGGGAGGCAGCAGUGUGGAAUAUUGAACUAUGCGCGCAAGCCUGAUGCAGCGACGCCGCUUGAGGGAUGACGGCCUUCGGGUUGUAAACCUCUUUCAGUACCGACGAAGCGCAAGUGACGGUAGGUGCAGAAGAAGGACCGGCCAACUACGUGCCAGCCGCCGCCGUAA
rnacentral:rRNA from 1 species